GACGAACGCUGGCGGCGUGCUUAACACAUGCAAGUCGAACGGAAAGGCCUCUUUCGGGGGGUACUCGCGUGGCGAACGGGUGAGUAACACGUGAGUAACCUGCCCUUUACUUUGGGAUAACUUCAGGAAACUGGGGCUAAUACCGGAUAGGAGCUCCUGCUGCAUGGUGGGGGUUGGAAAGUUUCGGCGGUUGGGGAUGGACUCGCGGCUUAUCAGCUUGUUGGUGGGGUAGUGGCUUACCAAGGCUUUGACGGGUAGCCGGCCUGAGAGGGUGACCGGCCACAUUGGGACUGAGAUACGGCCCAGACUCCUACGGGAGGCAGCAGUGGGGAAGAUUGCACAAUGGGUGGAAGCCUGAUGCAGCAACGCCGUGUGCGGGAUGACGGCCUUCGGGUUGUAAACCGCUUUCGCUCAUGACGAAGCUUUGUGUGACGGUAGUGGGUAAAGAAGCACCGGCUAACUACGUG
rnacentral:rRNA from 1 species